UUUGGGUUACAGUACUGUGGUAGCACCUAGGAGCCCCACACAACAUGGACCAGGACCCCAUUGCGUCUGGCCCCAAAGAGUCUACAGUCUGCGACAAGAAACAACAGGAGGAAACCAGCAGACAGAUGGGGGAGCACAGGCAGACAAUACUGGUCAGCAAAAUGGACAAUGGUCUUAGCCCACCAGCUACCCAGCCACUGUCAAGUGUUUUGUAAGCAUCAUCACAGAGGGGAGUUUAGCUGCUGAUAGUUUCUACUCAGAGGGGACGGUGCAACCAGCCUUGUGUCUAAGCAAACCUACCUCCCAGCUUUGCUGCCUUCUAACAUCCACGCAGCAAAUAGCUGUGGAGUUUUUUGUGUUGUGUUUUUGUAUUUGCAUAGCUGAGUGCCUGUAGUGUGUCUAUAUCAUGAUUCCCAUCUUUGCUUUCAGCACCUCUCACUGACAAUGAUUCACAUUUACAUGGCACCUUCACCCCCAGCUUGUCAGGGAUCUGCUAUGUUUUUAUUUCAUUUACAACAGAAAUAACUGAGAAAACAGAAAUAAAUCAAUUACACCAUCUUGGAA